CAUGCUUUUCUCCAUUGUGUGUUUAUUACUAUAUGCACACACACACACACACACACACACACACACACACACACACACAC
ensembl:miRNA Gm23785 predicted gene, 23785